rnacentral:rRNA from 1 species
GGGGAAUCUUGCACAAUGGGGGCAACCCUGAUGCAGCGACGCCGCGUGAGCGAUGAAGCCCUUCGGGGCGUAAAGCUCUUUCGACCGGAACGAUAAUGACGGUACCGGGAGAAGAAGCUGCGGCUAACUACGUGCCAGCAGCCGCGGUAAUACGUAGGCAGCGAGCGUUGUUCGGAGUUACUGGGCGUAAAGAGUGCGUAGGCGGCGAGCCAAGUUUGGUGUGAAAUCUCCCGGCUUAACCGGGAGGGUGCGCCGAAAACUGGUUGGCUGGAGUAUGGGAGAGGAAAGCGGAAUUCCUGGUGUAGCGGUGAAAUGCGUAGAUAUCAGGAGGAACACCUGCGGUGUAGACAGCUUUCUGGACCAAAACUGACGCUGAGGCACGAAAGCGUGGGUAGCAAACA